UCCUAAAACCCCUACCUAAACAAGACCCCUAAAUGUUAAAACCCAACAAGGAUGCAAUUAAGUAAGAAUAUCAGGACAUAGCUUAGCACAGUAAAGCAUCUCCCCUAGGGAGAAGUCAUCCGUGCAAACCGGAUAGCCCUGGUGCUAGAAAGCUAGCCCCCACACCCAAGAACAACAAACCACUGUUUAUACCCCCAAACGAAUUAAAUAAUAACCAACAAACCAUUUUUCCCCCUUAGUAUAGGAGAUAGAAAAGGAACGACGGAGCCAUAGAUAAAGUACCGCAAGGGAAAGCUGAAAAAGAAAUGAAAUAACCCAGCCAAGUUUAAAAAAGCAGAGACACAUCCUCGUACU
rnacentral:rRNA from 1 species